rnacentral:lncRNA from 1 species
GCUUUAAAGGUUUUCCUUCAGUCAAUUCUUUGGCAAUUCAGUUGAUGGGAAACAUUUAUGGCAUGAAUUUGUACGUAAUGGCAUUUGGCAAUUUGAUUAGCAGUUGACGCCGUGGCCGUAAACAUGUCUGGCAAAUGACGUUGCGUAAUCAAAUUCUGUUGACGUUUUAUUGUCACUACACGUUGAUCUGUUCAUUGAUGUCCA